UCAAAAGUAACUCCAAGGUUUCUCACAGUAGAGCUGGAGGCCAAGGUAAUGCCAUCCAAGAGGUUCAACAUUAGUCCUGGAGUCCUCCACCUCUACGUCGACCAAAGAAGAGUGAAAAAGAUUGAGUGAUGGAGGUCUGUCUGGAACUUUUGUGUGCAGUGACAAUGAGGUCUGUGCUCAUAUCACCAUGAAAUAUUGUUUUGAUAUGUAAAAUUCUAAUUCUAAUUGUAAUAUAUAUUAUGCAGUAUAUGUUCACUUGACAGUUAUUGGUCAAGUGAACAUAUACUACAUCGAUAUUUUUAUAGGACUUGAUCAUAGUAGGAAAAUUCAUGACACCAUUAACUGAACAGAAGGGGUUAUGCAUGUGCAGUUGUCAUAUCGUUAUCAUUUAACGUACAAUAGCUUGGUAUCGUUCAGUUUGAUUAGUUAAUGAUUGAUUUGUUGUUACUCUACAUGUAUUUUAAAGUAAACGCACUGUACUGUAUGUUGUUCACUCAAGUGUAAACAUUAAACACCUGUUUUCUUUCAUAAGAUUCAAUGUUGCUUUGGGAAACCAUGUUUAAUGAAUGAUGAUAAAUAAUGAAGCAUAUUGUGUGCAGCUAAUUAUUAUUAGCUAAUAUUAUUAUUAUGUGAAUAAAAAGAAAAAAAACAUUCAGAUGAUCCCA